CUCACAGCAACCCUGCAUGGAAUUAGAACACAAAGUGAAUUAUUGCCCAGGAUACCAAGGAAGAAUCCAAGACUCAGAAAAGCUGUCAUGGCACUACUAUUACUCUUGGUGCAGAGGCUGGGUGAAAUAUAAACAUGGCUCUUGCCACUCUUAUAACCAAAUCUUAUACUACAGACACACUGCCAUUAAACUGCUGGGAGCACAGCAGACAACUGGGAUCUCUAUCUGAAAGAAGACAGCAGCCCAAAAAAACCCUCAAGAAGCCUUCUUUCCGAGCACUGCUGUGAGGAUUAAUGAAGCAAAGUCCCCUGCUAUGAACUUCAAUUCUAAGCGAUGGCCACAGGAAGGGCUAGAGGAAGCCUACCAGAAGUCAGAAUAAUAAAUUUUCUUUUUAUCUUUCUCA
rnacentral:lncRNA from 1 species